CCCCCCCCCCCCCCCCCCCCCCCCCCCCCCCCCCCCCCCCCCCCCCCCCCCCCCCCCCCCCCCCCCCCCCCCCCCCCCCCCCCCCCCCCCCCCCCCCCCCCCCCCCCCCCCCCCUCCUUUUCCACGCUUUUAUUUUUAUUUCGGCUUGGUUUUUUUGUUUUUUUUUUUUUUCACCACCGCUCUGCCCUGCUCCCCGCUGGGGCCCUUCACCUCCUUUCCCUUCUCCCAUCCCUCUCCUCCCUUCCCUUCUCUUUGCAGCUGGAGGCCGCCCCCAUCCCUCCAUCCCAGUGCUCCCAGCAGCUGCCUGGCACUGGGGAAGGACAGGCCUUACUGGAGGGGACACCCCCCUCACCCCUCAGGCCAUCUGCAGAGCUGUCCCAAAUUUGGGGGGGUCCCAUCUCUCUUUGCAGCUGCGUGCACAGAGCCUCUCCUCCGGAAUGGUGCCCUUGGGAACACUGACAGCACCUCGGGGUCCCUGGGACGCCUCUCUGCACCCACCGAGGGGUUCUGCAGUUCUCUGUCGAGUGCCAGCCCUGCUCUUCACCCAGCCCCAAGAAGGAUGAUGGUGUCCAUGUAGAAAGGUCUUUUUCUCCACGUCCCCGCGGCAUCCAGCUCCUUUUCUCCGUUUCUUUUCGUGCCGUGCACCUCCAUGAACCACAAGCCAACACAUCUCCUAGCAGCAGCAGUCAAAGUGGGCGUUUUAUUGGGAAAUCUAAUCAGGUUUCGAGGGGAAAAUCCUUUCUUAAUGUCUCAGCUAGGCAACGAGCUCGAUUAAAUUGGUCAGACUAUAAAAAGGGCCAAGAGUCCCAUCUCCUUUUUCCUCCCUGCUCUUCCUGGACAGCGCUGUCAUCUCCGCACUCCACCGAAGCCCAAACGAGCCUCAAUGACACAGGACUCACAUGUCAUUCCCCGACAUCCCCCCCCUGCCCCGCCUCCCCCCAGCAACAGAGUCACAAAUCAUCUCAAACACUCUAAAUUUAGCCGACCACGAGCAGGGAUUUCAGUGACAUCACUGCUGGAAAUUAAGGGGUCAAACGGGGAGGCUGAACGCUUCACUGAUCCUUCCACACACACGAGGCCACCCUGUCUUGAGACAUCUCAAAGCAUUCCCCUCAAAUUAUA
rnacentral:lncRNA from 1 species